rnacentral:rRNA from 1 species
GGGGAAUAUUGCGCAAUGGGGGAAACCCUGACGCAGCAACGCCGCGUGCGGGAUGAAGGCCUUCGGGUUGUAAACGGCUUUCAGCAGGGACGAGGGGUUCUGGCGGGUACCGGCGGAGGAGGCACGGGCUAACUACGGGCCAGCAGCCGCGGGGAUACGUAGGGUGCGAGCAUUGUCCGGAAUUAUUGGGCGUAAAGAGCUUGUAGGCGGUCCGUCACGUCGGAAGUGAAAACUCAGGGCUUAACCCUGAGCCUGCUUUCGAUACGGGCAGACUUGAGGGAUGUAGGGGAGAACGGAAUUCCUGGUGGAGCGGUGGAAUGCGCAGAUAUCAGGAGGAACACCAGUGGCGAAGGCGGUUCUCUGGACAUUUCCUGACGCUGAGAAGCGAAAGCGUGGGGAGCAAACA